rnacentral:rRNA from 1 species
CGCCUGUUUAUUAAAAACAUAGUUUUUUAUUUUUAAUAAAAAAUAUAACCUGCCCAUUGAUUUUAUUUAAAGGCCGCAGUAUUUUGACUGUGCUAAGGUAGCAUAAUCAUUAGAUUUUUAAUUGGAAUCUUGUUUGAAUGGUUUAAUGAAAUAAAUUCUUUAUUAUUUUAAAUAUUUAAUUUUAUAUUUUAAUUAAAAAGUUAAAAUAAAAUAAAGGGACGAGAAGACCCUAUAGAAUUUUAUAUAAAAUUAUAAUUUAUUAAAUUUAUUAUUUUAUAUAGAUUAUAAAUUUAUAUUUUAUUGGGGUGAUAAUUAAAUUUAAUUAACUUUUAUUUUUUAUUUCAAUUAUUAUUGUUUUUUUGAUCUUUUUUUAUUGAUUAAAAAAUUAAAUUACCUUAGGGAUAACAGCAUAAUUUUAUUAAGAAGUACUUAUUUUUAAUAUUGUUUAUGACCUCGAUGUUGAAU